GUAGGGAAUCUUCCACAAUGGACGCAAGUCUGAUGGAGCAACGCCGCGUGAGUGAAGAAGGUCUUCGGAUCGUAAAGCUCUGUUGUUGGUGAAGAAGGAUAGAGGCAGUAACUGGUCUCUAUUUGACGGUAAUCAACCAGAAAGUCACGGCUAACUACGUGCCAGCAGCCGCGGUAAUACGUAGGUGGCAAGCGUUGUCCGGAUUUAUUGGGCGUAAAGCGAGCGCAGGCGGAAUGAUAAGUCUGAUGUGAAAGCCCACGGCUCAACCGUGGAACUGCAUCGGAAACUGUCAUUCUUGAGUGCAGAAGAGGAGAGUGGAACUCCAUGUGUAGCGGUGGAAUGCGUAGAUAUAUGGAAGAACACCAGUGGCGAAGGCGGCUCUCUGGUCUGCAACUGACGCUGAGGCUCGAAAGCAUGGGUAGCGAACAGGAUUAGAUACCCUGGUAGUCCAUGCCGUAAACGAUGAGCGCUAGGUGUUGGGGACUUUCCGGUCCUCAGUGCCGCAGCAAACGCAUUAAGCGCUCCGCCUGGGGAGUACGACCGCAAGGUUGAAAC
rnacentral:rRNA from 1 species